UCUCAGCCUUCUUUUGAAUAGUCUUGUCCGCAGCUCGGGUGUCCACGUUUUUCUUAGUUAUUUUGACCAAGUUAAACUAUCCAGUCUUGCAUUUCAGAUAGCACUGCUACAUUUUACAACUGUCGGUACCGUUUUAAGGACAGCACACGUCCGUUUCCUCCAUUUAAAAAGCCGAGUAUCAAAAGCUCGCUGUGACAAUGUCGACUGCCGUGAACUUCCAUUCUCAGAUUGCCUCCAUCAUGGAGGUGCUUGCUAACGCAGCCGUCGCAGAAAUUUGUAAAGUUGUGGACGACGGAUACGCGGUGGUUCACGUGGAAAUGUCCCGGAGCCAGAAGGAGAACGAGUUCCUGCGCAGGAAAAUCAAACUGCUGGAGCUGCAGAUCGCCAGGUACCGGGCGGAGAGAGUCAAGGGGUCGGAGGGCUUCAUCGGCAGCCGCUUCCCCGGGGUCCGCCUCCUCAACCGACAGAACAGAGACGCACUAGCGGCAGGCUCCUCUCUGCAAGGCAGGACCAGGUUUCUGAACCGAGGCCCAGGGACUCAGCAGUCGGUGCAGAAAAUCCAACCUAUUAACCUGGACCAGGAUCCUGAUCAGGAGGUCGUUACCACAACCAAAACUGAGUCAGCAGAGCCUGCGGAGGAGGGGGAGCUGCUGAUCGUCAAGGUGGAGGGAACGAUGGAGAUCGGAUCCACUGACCCCGAGGUGCCGGCAGACGCCUGCCUCAGCAGCAGAGGAGAAGCCCAGACCACCACAUCGCUCCCCGCUGCCUCAACAGAAGCCAGCGAUGGCCGGGCAGCCAGACACCGCAGCGAAACGGAGGUCAGUGGAUCUGACAUCGUCACCUUUGUUGUCGGCAGGACAGCUGAAACUGACAGCAGCAGCAGUGACACUACCCACAGUUCCAAGCUGGAGUUAACAGGAAGUGAUGUCAAAGCAGGGGACAUUGAGCCACUGAACUCAUGUGCUGGAAUGACAUCAAGCAGGGAUGCUGUGCAAGCUUCCUGUGAUGAUGUAAUGGACAGCAGGAAAGAUAAUGAGGCUGCGUUAGAUACCUCUGAGUCCUCCCUGUCAGAGGUGAUAGUCAUUGAUGGAGGGGGCAUGUCAGACAAGGAGGGAGAGGAGUGUGAGUGGUCAGAUGUAGACCAGAUAAAGACAGAAGCAGGCAGAGAGAGAGACAGAUAUGAACAAACAUCACCCACCAUUCAGUAUGCUGGGCUGGAAUCAGCAGGACACGGGUCAGUGCAGGUGAAGUCCUCUCUGCAGGCAGGGUCUGUUCUUUUUCAUAAUGACACUCCAAGAACAUCUUGUGGUGGAAUUACCUCCAGUGUCAACUCCUCUCUGGCUCUGCACCGUCCUGUGAGCCACCACAACCACAGCUACAGCAAGGCCUUCUCCAACAGCUUUCACCUGGCUUUCUACCAUGCAGUCACCACGGAGCGGCCGUACGGCUGCACCAGCUGCACCAAGCGCUUCUUCCUAGAGUCAGACCUGCAGAAGCACAUGGCCAGGCACACCAGGGAGAAGCCCUACACCUGCCUGCUGUGCGGCAAGAGCUUUGUAUGCCAGAGCCAGCUGGACAUCCACCGCAAUGUGCACACUGGAGAGAGGCCCUUCAGCUGCUCCAUCUGCAACCGACGCUUCUCCCAUCCCAGCAACCUCAAGAGGCACCAGAAGAUCCAGCACUGAACACAAAGACCAGACUGCCCCAUGACACCGCUGCACCAAAGUUUCCCUGAAGAGGACUAGAUUCAGCUUUUUCACACAAUACUAACAGUUUCACUUUUUUACCCUGACAGUUCUUUUUUAGCACUCCAUUUUUAUUAGAAACAAAAAGAGAUGGAAGAAAUGUAGAGCAGACUAAAAGACAAUGCAGUACUCCAAACCAAAUGUGAUGUAGCAAAAAUACAAGCAGCACCUCUCUCCUUGGACCUAUCUGAAUGCUUCUCCAGUUUAUUUUAUCAUCCAAACCUUCACAGUCUUAUUUGAAAUAAAGGAGAUCUGAACCUAGUGUGGGGAGGGCGAACUACAACAGAAAACUACAAUAUAAAGAAUUACAGGAUGUAAUUACAUUAAAUAGCUUUUGCAGGAAAAAUACAAAAAAAUCAGUUUGAAUCUUGAGUUUGACAUAAUGAAAAUCAUCAAGGAUUAUAAUCGCACCAUCAGGGAGUGUGAGAUAUAUGAACAUUCUGUAUAAAGAUGAAGAGUUGGUAUAAAAGCCAGGUAGUGACCUCCUGAACUGCUGAACCUCCAUGAUUUGACAUCAAUAAAACAUUAACAGCUGGGCCAGAGAUGUCUGAAAAACACAAGCAGUGCUCAGCGCAAGGAGGAAA